AUUGGAAUUGACAUUAUAAUUUGGACUGUUACUUUGGGCUGCAUUCCGUUUUGCCCCUCUCUCUCCUGCCCCCCCCCCCCCCCCCUCCCCACACACUUUCUCUCUCUCUCUGCGCCUCUAUCUGCCUCUCCCUUUCUGCCCCCACCUCUCUCUCUCUCUUUGCCUCUCUCUUUCUGUGCCCCCACCUCUCUCUCUGCCCCUCUCUAUGCGCCUCUCUCUAGCCUUAAUUGGGCUGCAAGCCUUAAAAAUCACAGUUCCUUACAGCCAAGAGUGAGACAGAAAUGGAGAGAGACAGAGCGAGACAGAGAUAGAGGAGAGAGAGAGAGAGAGAGAGAGACGACAGAGAGAGAGAGACAGAGACAGAGACAGAAAGAGAGAAAGAGAAGACAGAGGAGAGAGAGAGAGACAGAAGAGAGAGAGACGAAGAGAGAGAGAGACGAGAGAGACAUAAUAGAAAGACAGAGAGAGCGAGACAGAAGAGAAAGACAGAGAGAGAGAGACAGAAGCGAAAGAACGGGAGAGAGAAGAGAGAAAGAGAAAGACAGAGAGACAGAGAGACAAGAAGAGAAAGACAGAGAGAGUAGACAGAAGGAGAGAGGACAGAAGAGAAGACAGAGAGACAGAAGAGAAAGACAGAGAGGGAGAGAGAGAAGAGAAAGAAAGACGAGAGAGAGAGAAGAGAAAGACAGAGAGAGAGAAGAGAAAAGACAGAGAGAGAGAGACAGAAGAGAGACAUAAUAGAAAGACAGAGAGAGAGAGACAAAGAAGACAGAGAGAGAGAGAAGAGAGAGAAGAACAGAGGGAGAGAGAAAAGAGUAAAGACAGAGAGAGAGGACAGAGAGAAAGACAGAGAGAGAGAGGACAGAAGGAGAGAGACAGAGAGAAAGACAGAGAGAGACAGAAGAGAAAGACAGAGAGGGAGAAGAGAGAAGAGAAGGAAGACAGAGGAGAGAGAAAGAGAAAGACGCAGGAGAGAGAGAAGAGAGAAAAGAAGAAGAGAGAGACAAAGAGCAGAGAGAGCAGAGGAGGAGUAGA
rnacentral:lncRNA from 1 species